CCUACGGGAGGCAGCAGUGAGGAAUAUUGGUCAAUGGGCGGAAGCCUGAACCAGCCAAGUAGCGUGCAGGAUGACGGCCAUACGGGUUGUAAACUGCUUUUAUACGGGAAUAACGCGCCUUACGUGUAGGGCUUUGCAUGUACCGUAUGAAUAAGGACCGGCUAAUUCCGUGCCAGCAGCCGCGGUAAUACGGAAUGUCCGGGCGUUAUCCGGAUGUAUUGGGGUAACAGGGAGCGUAGGCCGCAUGUCAAGCGUGCUGUGAAAUGUCCGGGCUCAACCCGGGCCUUGCAGCGCGAACUGGCGUGCUUGAGUCCGCGGAAAGCAGGCGGAAUUCGUCGUGUAGCGGUGAAAUGCUUAGAUAUGACGAAGAACCCCGAUUGCGAAGGCAGCUUGCUGCAGCGGAACUGACGCUGAUGCUCGAAAGCGCGGGUAUCGAACAGGAGUAGAUACCCGAGUAGUC
rnacentral:rRNA from 1 species